ACACAGGAUCAGGGUGGCUUUCAUCUGCAUGGAUCUCACUUGUUAGCUGCGAACAGCAAGAGGCCAGCUGUGAUGAUGUUAGCCAACACAGGUCAUGCUCUAGGGGACAUGGAUUUUCCCCUAUUAAGAGGAUGAUUAGUCCAGUAAAUUACAGCUUUCAGAUGAAGACGACUGUUCCAUCUCUGUGCUGGAAAGGGGAAGAGGAUAGGAGGUUCAUUUCACCACAAGAAUAAUGAAAAAAUAUCUUUACGAUAGGAGAUACGUGGGCUGGAGAGAUGGCUCAGCGGUUAAGAGCACUGACUGCUCUUCCAGAGGUCCUGAGUUCAAUUCCCAGCAACCACACAGUGGCUCACAACCAUCUGGG